rnacentral:rRNA from 1 species
UACGUAGGGACCGAGCGUUGUCCGGAAUCAUUGGGCGUAAAGAGCGUGUAAGCGGCCUUUUAAGUCCUGCGUGAAAUCCUGCGGCUCAACCGCAGACGGUCGUGGGAAACUGGAAGGCUAGAGUGCGGGAGAGGAGAGUGGAAUUCCCGGUGUAGCGGUGAAAUGCGCAGAUAUCGGGAAGAACACCCGUGGCGAAGGCGGCUCUCUGGAACGCAACUGACGCUGAGGCGCGAAAGCGUGGGGAGCAAACAGG